AGAUGAUAAUGAGUGCACAUGUAAGACGGAAUGUAAUGACAAAACGGAAUGGGCUGAUCAAGAUGGAUUCUGCUGUCACGACUUAAAGUGUUGUAAGCCUUGUAAUGAUACCCUUCAGUGCAAACAAGAAAACGGUUCAUGCAGAGCAUUAUGCAAGGAGAAUGAACAAAGUGCAGGUUCCACGUGUUGUAGCAAUUUCCAAUGUUGUCAGCCUCCUCCAACGUGUGUUGUAAAUUGCACCUGUAAGAACACAUGUAUUGGUGGUAGAGAGAUUGACAAUGCUCAGGAAUAUACCGACAUUUUGGCUUGUUGUGGAAGUGGCAAAUGUUGUAAGCUCU